GAUGAAGAACGUAGCGAAAUGCGAUACGUAAUGUGAAUUGCAGAAUUCCGUGAAUCAUCGAAUCUUUGAACGCACAUUGCGCCCCCUGGCAUUCCGGGGGGCAUGCCUGUCCGAGCGUCAUUUCUGCCCUCAAGCACGGCUUGUGUGUUGGGUGUGGUCCCCCCGGGGACCUGCCCGAAAGGCAGCGGCGACGUCCGUCUGGUCCUCGAGCGUAUGGGGCUUUGUCACUCGCUCGGGAAGGACCUGCGGGGGUUGGUCACCACCAUAUUUUACCACGGUUGACCUCGGAUCAGGUAGGAGUUACCCGCUGAACUUAAGCAUAUCAAUAAGCGGAGGA
rnacentral:misc_RNA from 1 species